rnacentral:rRNA from 1 species
CCGACGGUGAGAGGCGAAAGCUGGGGGAGCAAACCGGAUUAGAUACCCGGGUAGUCCCAGCUGUAAACGAUGCGCGUUAGGUGUGUCAGUGACCACGUGUCACUGAUGUGCCGAAGGGAAACCGUGAAACGCGCCGCCUGGGGAGUACGGUCGCAAGGCUGAAACUUAAAGGAAUUGGCGGGGAGCACCACAACGGGUGGAGCCUGCGGUUUAAUCGGACUCAACGCCGGAAAUCUCACCGGAUAAG